GCAUAUCAAUAAGCGGAGGAAAAGAAACCAACAGGGAUUACCUCAGUAACGGCGAGUGAAGCGGUAACAGCUCAAAUUUGAAAUCUGGCUCUUUCAGGGUCCGAGUUGUAAUUUGUAGACGAUGCUUUGGGUGUGGUGCCGGUCUAAGUUCCUUGGAACAGGACGUCAUAGAGGGUGAGAAUCCCGUAUGUGAUCGGUCGCCUUCGCCCGUGUAAAGCUCGUUCGACGAGUCGAGUUGUUUGGGAAUGCAGCUCAAAAUGGGUGGUAAAUUUCAUCUAAAGCUAAAUAUUGGCCAGAGACCGAUAGCGCACAAGUAGAGUGAUCGAAAGAUGAAAAGCACUUUGGAAAGAGAGUUAAACAGUACGUGAAAUUGUUGAAAGGGAAGCGCUUGCAACCAGACUUGGGCCGUCAUAAUCAUCUAGGGCUCGCCCUGGUGCACUUGUGGCGGCACAGGCCAGCAUCAGUUUCGGUGGUGGGAUAAAGGCCUUGGGAAUGUAGCUUCUUUCGGGGAGUGUUAUAGCCCUCGGUGCAAUGCCGCCUACCGGGACUGAGGACCGCGCUUCGGCUAGGAUGCUGGCGUAAUGGUUGUAAGCGACCCGUCUUGAAACACGGACCAAGGAGUCUAACAUCUAUGCGAGUGUUUGGGUGUCAAACCCAUACGCGUAAUGAAAGUGAACGGAGGUGAGAACCCUUUAGGGUGCAUCAUCGACCGAUCCYGAUGUCUUCGGAUGGAUUUGAGUAAGAGCAUAGCUGUUGGGACCCGAAAGAUGGUGAACUAUGCCUAAAUAGGGUGAAGCCAGAGGAAACUCUGGUGGAGGCUCGCAGCGGUUCUSACGUGCAAAUCGAUCGUCAAAAUUUGGGUAUAGGGGCGAAAGACUAAUCGAACCAUCUAGUAGCUGGUUCCUGCCGAAGUU
rnacentral:rRNA from 1 species